rnacentral:rRNA from 1 species
ACACUCCUGCGGGAGGCAGCAGUGGGGAAUAUUGGACAAUGGGCGCAAGCCUGAUCCAGCCAUGCCGCGUGAGUGAUGAAGGCCCUAGGGUUGUAAAGCUCUUUCACCGGUGAAGAUAAUGACGGUAACCGGAGAAGAAGCCCCGGCUAACUUCGUGCCAGCAGCCGCGGUAAUACGAAGGGGGCUAGCGUUGUUCGGAUUUACUGGGCGUAAAGCGCACGUAGGCGGACUAUUAAGUCAGGGGUGAAAUCCCGGGGCUCAACCCCGGAACUGCCUUUGAUACUGGUAGUCUUGAGUUCGAGAGAGGUGAGUGGAAUUCCGAGUGUAGAGGUGAAAUUCGUAGAUAUUCGGAGGAACACCAGUGGCGAAGGCGGCUCACUGGCUCGAUACUGACGCUGAGGUGCGAAAGCGUGGGGAGCAAACAGGAGUAGAAACCCCUGUAGUCCC